rnacentral:rRNA from 1 species
GACGAACGCUGGCGGCGUGCUUAACACAUGCAAGUCGAACGGUAAGGCCCCAGCUUGCUGGGGUACACGAGUGGCGAACGGGUGAGUAACACGUGGGUGACCUGCCCCGCACUUCGGGAUAAGCCUGGGAAACUGGGUCUAAUACCGGAUAGGACCGCACCGUGAGGGUGUGGUGGAAAGUUUUUCGGUGUGGGAUGGGCCCGCGGCCUAUCAGCUUGUUGGUGGGGUAAUGGCCUACCAAGGCGGCGACGGGUAGCCGGCCUGAGAGGGUGGACGGCCACAUUGGGACUGAGACACGGCCCAGACCCCUACGGGGGGCAGGGGGGGGGAAGAGUGCAAAAGGGGGGGAAGCCUGAUGCAGGGGCGCCGGGGGGGGGAUGACGGCCUUCGGGUGGAAAACCCCUUUCCCCCUCAACGAAGGUUUUCGGCCGGUAAAUGGGGAAGAAGCCCCGGCUAACUACGG